rnacentral:rRNA from 1 species
UCUUUGAACGCAAGUUGCGCCCGAGGUUUUCCCGCCGAGGGCACGCCUGCCUGGGCGUCACGCCAUCGUCGCUCCGCGCCCCCUCGCCCCCACGCACGAGUGGCGGUGUCGGACGCAGACAUUGGCCCCCUGCGCCCUCGGGCGUGGUCGGCCGAAGAGAGGGGCCGUCGCUGGUGGUCGGACACGACGGAUGGUGGCCACGAGCAAGCCGGACGUCGUGCCCCCGCCGUGGAGAUGAGCUCCGGAGGACCCCCCACCCCCGCAUAAUCGUUUGCCUCGGAUUGCGACCUCAGGUCAGGCGGGGCUACCCGCUGAGUUUAAGCAUAUAAAUAAGCGGAGGAGAAGAAACUUACGAGGAUUCCUAUAGUAACGGCGAGCGAAUCGGGA